UACGUAGGGGUGCGAGCGUUAAUCGGAAUUACUGGGCGUAAAGCGUGCGCAGGCGGUUUGCUAAGACAGGUGUGAAAUCCCCGGGCUUAACCUGGGAACUGCGCUUGUGACUGGCAGGCUAGAGUACGGUAGAGGGGGGUGGAAUUCCUGGUGUAGCAGUGAAAUGCGUAGAUAUCAGGAGGAACACCGAUGGCGAAGGCAGCCCCCUGGGCCUGUACUGACGCUCAUGCACGAAAGCGUGGGGAGCAAACAGGAUUAGAUACCCCGGGGUA
rnacentral:rRNA from 1 species